AGCUUUUAUUGUUAAAUAUGCUAGUCCUUUCAUGAUUAUGUGAUAGGUGGUGCAUGGCCGUUCUUAGUUCGUGGAGUGAUCUGUCUGCUUAAUUGCGUUUCACUAUAAGGAUCUAUAUUCUUUACAGUGUGCAGUGCAUUGACCCCUUCUUCGGAAGCGUGUGUCUUUACGCUCACACUUCAUUAGGUCCUGAAAGCAACGAACGUGACCGCAACCUCUUGUUGCCUCUGUGCUCCUACACGCUCAAUGCGCUAAACACUGGUUUUCUAGCUUAGUGCGUUGGUUGAGGCUUUCUUAAACUAGAGGGACCGCUGUCAACUUCUUAAACCAGAGGAAGGUUGCGGCAAUAACAGGUCUGUGAUGCCCUUAGAUGUUCCGGGCUGCACACGUGCUACAAUGAUUGUUGCAGUGAGCAUCUCAAUUCUUUACCACACCGCACACGUGAGUCUUUAACGUUUUGUUGAAUGCACUUUACGCAGCGGUAACGCCUGCUUCGAGAGCAAGUGGGUAAUCAAUUAGAAGUAACGAUUUCCCAAGUUAGCACACUUAUAUACGGCGU
rnacentral:rRNA from 1 species